AUGUUUCCACCUUUGUGUCAAAUCCUGAAGGAUCUUUGCCCCAGUCCGGGGCGCUGCUCGGUGUGCCAGGGGCAGAUUCAGUCCAAUAAAGGGUUUUUUUCUGAUGUGACCCUUUUAAAGACUCUGCAGAUCAUGGCUGGCUUCUUCAGCAUCGGACUUGGGCCCGGAUGUUUUAGCACAGAUCCUGGAGAUCUGACCAGCUUAGGAGCCGCUUACUGGCUGGGUGCUGUGGUCAUUGUAACUGGAAUCCUGUCCAUUUUGGCCAGACAGUUCCCUUCUUUGUGAUUGUUGGGCUUCACUGUGUUCAUGAACAUCGCUGGAGCAAUCCUCGCCAUCGCCGGCAUCAUGCUGUACACUAUAGACCUGCGAGACGCCUCCGUCCUCUCCAUGUGUGAUCAGAGCACAAACAGUGUUGAUCCGUAUGAUGACAAGUGCAGUGAUAUGGCACUCUUUGAUCAGAGAUUACUAAAAUCCAUGGACGUCUCGUUGGUUGCCCGCACUUUCCUCCAGCUGUUUGUCAAUAUUCGGUUUGCUAUUAUUGGCAUCAAGGCUUUGACCAGUGAGAUGAAGGAGGAGAAGGAUGACCAAGAUGUCGACGACCAGCAGGCAAAGUCGAGGGAACGUUUCAUCCUCAUCUCAUUACGAGUCCUGUCCACGCCAAACCAGACUGGCAGGAGCAGGAAUCAGAGGUCAGGAACUUGGUGUGAGAUGUCGGUCGCUAUCGUUCUCCCUGAGGCCUCUGACGCUCAGAGCCUGCUGUGUCCACUUCUGUGUCAGAUCCUCAGGAUUCUUUGCUGCAGCUCCAGGUGCUGCUCAGUUUAUGUGCUGAUGCAGGCCGACGUAACUGCCGCUCUUGGGACGAUUCAGAUCAUGGUGGGUUUGGUCAACAUUGGACUUGGUCCUGGACGGACAAGCACGCGUCCUGGAGAUUUGACCAGUGUGGGAGCUGCUUACUGGCUUGGUGCUGUGUACACUCUAGUUGGGAUCAUGUCAGUGUUCGCGGGUGGUCGCCCCUCUCAUUGCUUGGUGGGCUUCGGCGUGUUCGUCAACGUAGUGGGAUGUAUCUUUGCCAUCGCUGGCAUUGUGCUGUACGCCAUCGACCUGGGAGACACCUCUGUCGUCUGGAUGUGCGCCUGGAAUCAGCUCAAUGCUGAUCACUUUGGCGACAACUGCAGAUCCGUGGCGUUCUUUGUCCAGAGUCUGUUGACUGGUAUGGACAUCACUCUGAUCGUCCUGGCCGUUCUCCAGCUGUGUGUCUGCAUUAGCGUCGCUGUUCUGGGCGUCAAGUCUUUAGCCAAUGGGAAGAAGGAAGAGCAGGAUGGCAGAGGUGUAGACAUGUACCAGCCAGUGUUGAAGGAAGUCUUCAUGACCUUUCCUGGGGCUUAAAAUCAAUUCAUCCAAACACAGGGAUGCAUGAGUAUGAAUAUGCAACAAUGUUUUUGUAAUCAAUGCACCAUUUAUUCAAACACAUCUGAUAAUCUAAACUGCCUCACAAAGCCACCUGUCACCUCUUACCUGUCAGCUUGUGAAUGUUUUUUUACAGGAAACAUGUUUGCAGAAAGUCAAGUAAAAAUGUUGCAAGCUGUCAGUGUCUUAAGAGUUUAGGUUUUUUGUUUCCAAGACUGAAAUUCUAUUCAUGUAAUUGCGGAGGCAGAAAUCAAUGGGCCACAGCAUAGCUCAAGCUCAGAGGUGGAUAUGCAAAAGGCAUACUGUACCUGCCACGUCCUGAACUGUAAUCUCACUGAAGUGUAAGUAUCAUGAGGGGAAUGUUGGAGAAAGAUGUGUAAAUAAAAAGGACACUGUCACAUGGUUUUAUUGAUUUCCACAAGCAGCUGCCUUUAUGCUGUGUGUGCAGCUGUGAUCGCUGCGUUACUUAGUUGGAAUCAAUGAUAUAUAUAUAAGUAUAUGUGAAUAAAAUUAAUUU